GCGCCGGUAGCCCAAUUGGAUAGAGCACCGGAUUUCUACUCCGAUGGUUGGGGGUUCAAGUCCCUCUCGGCGCACCA
rnacentral:tRNA from 1 species